CCUACGGGAGGCAGCAGUGAGGAAUAUUGGUCAAUGGACGAGAGUCUGAACCAGCCAAAUAGCGUGAAGGAUGACUGCCCUAUGGGUUGUAAACUUCUUUUAUAUGGGAAUAAAACGUUCCACGUGUGGGAUUUUGUAUGUACUAUAUGAAUAAGGAUCGGCUAACUCCGUGCCAGCAGCCGCGGUAAUACGGAGGAUCCGAGCGUUAUCCGGAUUUAUUGGGUUUAAAGGGAGCGUAGGUGGAUUGUUAAGUCAGUUGUGAAAGUUUGCGGCUCAACCGUAAAAUUGCAGUUGAAACUGGCAGUCUUGAGUACAGUAGAGGUGGGCGGAAUUCGUGGUGUAGCGGUGAAAUGCUUAGAUAUCACGAAGAACUCCGAUUGCGAAGGCAGUUCACUGGACUGCAACUGACACUGAGGCUCGAAAGUGUGGGUAUCAAACAGGAUUAGAUACCCCGGUAGUC
rnacentral:rRNA from 1 species